UACAGAGGGUGCGAGCGUUAAUCGGAAUUACUGGGCGUAAAGCGAGCGUAGGUGGCUAAUUAAGUCACAUGUGAAAUCCCUGGGCUUAACCUAGGAACUGCAUGUGAUACUGGUUAGCUAGAGUAUGUGAGAGGGGUGUAGAAUUCCAGGUGUAGCGGUGAAAUGCGUAGAGAUCUGGAGGAAUACCGAUGGCGAAGGCAGCACCCUGGCAUAAUACUGACACUGAGGUUCGAAAGCGUGGGUAGCAAACAGG
rnacentral:rRNA from 1 species